CUCGUAGGCGGUUGAUUGCGUCCGCCGUGAAAGGCCUCGGCUUAACCGGGGUUUUGCGGUGGAUACGGGUCGACUUGAGGCAAUUAGGGGAGAUCGGAAUUCUACGUGUAGCGGUGAAAUGCGCAGAUAUGUGGAGGAACACCGGUGGCGAAGGCGGAUCUCUGGGAUUGUUCUGACGCUGAGGAGCGAAAGCGUGGGGAGCGAACAGGAUUAGAUACCCUGGUAGUCCAUGCUGUAAACGGUGGGCGCUAGGUGUGGGGUCACGUUGGUUGAUUCUGUGCCGUAGCUAACGCAUUAAGCGCCCCGCCUGGGGAGUACGGCCGCAAGGCUAAA
rnacentral:rRNA from 1 species